rnacentral:lncRNA from 1 species
AAAUUUUUUUCUUUGUUUUCAAAAUUCAAGCACUUUAGCAGAUUAGGAAAAUGUUUAAAGGUUUCAUUUUUUUUUUUUUUUCAGAUUAAGGCAAUGUGUUCCUGUAGCAGUAAUCAUUUAAGAAAGUGAUGUUUUUCUCUUUCAGAUCCCUAUUUUCACUCAUUAUUAGAGAGCUGAAUUCUAAAUCAAAGAUUGUGGAGAAGAGAUGUGCAACCUGAAUAAAACAUUUCCAGAAGAGACUGAAUAAUGGUCCUGAAUAAAGGGAACUGAAAUGUUCUUGAAUUGUAAUUGGAAAAAACUCAAGUGUGUGUACUCAGGAGCACAUGUACUAAGAAGAGACAACUAAGCAUUCAGUGUCUUUGCUUCUGGAAUGUGAUGAAACCGCAGAAAGCAGAGAAAAUAAGCAUAUGAAUUCUGGAGUUUUGAUCCUCAGAUGCCAAUUCAAAUUAAUAGCCCAGAAUUACAGUUAUAUUGUUUACAACCUCCACUCCAACAAGAAAACCUGAAUUGGGAAAGAAAUAAUUGUGUCAUAAACAGGGCCGCCCUACCUAUGGAGGUACUGUAUGAUUGAGUCUCUGAUUUCAUCAUGGACACAGCUCUUCCUUAUUCUGGACUUCAGCAUAAAUUACCUUCAUUUUAGGGUAAGCUUCCAGAUUUUACCUGUGUCAGUCCCAUAGCAUCAGAACCAUUCUAUUUUGUAGCUCUUGUUUUAUUUGUAGUAAAUAGUUUUGUGAUAAAUUUCCAUGUCCCAUUUUAGACUAUAAACUAUGUGGGGGCAGCCAGUGUGUACUUUUAGCUGACUCUGUAUCCUCAAUAUUUUCCAAUAUUUGGACAUAGUGGGCAUUUGAUAAAAUUUUUUGAAGAAAAUUCUCAAUGCCUAAGAUAUUUCAUAUAUUUCAUAUAUUUUAAUAACAUGUAAAAUGUUUUUUUUUUGAAAUUGAAAUUGAAAAACUUUUUCAAAUGCAAAUAUGAAUAACAAAGCAUUGUUAAGAUCUUUUUCUCCUGAAU